rnacentral:rRNA from 1 species
ACAACUUUCAACAACGGAUCUCUUGGCUCUCGCACCGAUGAAGAACGCAGCGAAAUGCGAUAAGUAAUGUGAAUUGCAGAAUUCAGUGAAUCAUCGAAUCUUUGAACGCACCUUGCACCCUUUGG